AUCGGGAUGUGAGCUCACGGUGACGCAGACCUAGAGCCUGCGCUUAAACUGGUCUCUCUUUCCAGUUGCAGUCCGUAGUCCUUUGCGGCUGUGCGCCGACUCGCUGUUGCCUUAAGGUGGGCGAACUGUACCCACAAAGGAGGAAGUCGUGGAAGCUGACUGCGAUCCUCGGCAGGUCUUUAGGUCCGUUGGUGCAGCAGAUUUCAAGGCUGAGAGAGGAAGACUGCUUCUGAUCCCUGCAGGAAGAAGAAGCGGG
rnacentral:lncRNA from 1 species